GCCUGUGUAGUGUAGUGGUUUGAGUGUUGGGCUACAACUCUAGAGACCAGGGUUCAAUUCCUUGCUUGGCCA